rnacentral:rRNA from 1 species
UACGGAGGGAGCUAGCGUUGUUCGGAAUUACUGGGCGUAAAGCGCACGUAGGCGGCUUUGUAAGUUAGAGGUGAAAGCCCGGGGCUCAACCCCGGAAUUGCCUUUAAGACUGCAUCGCUUGAAUCCAGGAGAGGUGAGUGGAAUUCCGAGUGUAGAGGUGAAAUUCGUAGAUAUUCGGGAAGAACACCAGUGGCGAAGGCGGCUCACUGGAC